rnacentral:rRNA from 1 species
UACGAGGGGGGCAAGCGUUGUUCGGAAUUAUUGGGCGUAAAGGGCGCGUAGGCGGUGCGGUAAGUCACCUGUGAAAACUCUGGGCUCAACUCAGAGCCUGCAGGCGAAACUGCCGUGCUGGAGUGUGGGAGAGGUGCGUGGAAUUCCCGGUGUAGCGGUGAAAUGCGUAGAUAUCAGGAGGAACACCAAUAGCGAAGGCAGCUCGCUGGGACGGUACUGACGCUAAGGCGCGAAAGCGUGGGGAGCGAACAGG